rnacentral:rRNA from 1 species
UACGAGGGGGGCGAGCGUUGUUCGGAAUUAUUGGGCGUAAAGAGCGUGUAGGCGGUUUGGUAGGUCCGUUGUGAAAACUCGAGGCUCAACCUCGAGACGCCGGCGGAAACCAUCAGGCUAGAGUCCGGAAGAGGAGAGUGGAAUUCCUGGUGUAGCGGUGAAAUGCGCAGAUAUCAGGAAGAACACCCGUGGCUAAGGCGGCUCUCUAGUACGGUACUGACGCUGAGACGCGAAAGCGUGGGGAGCGAACAGG